rnacentral:rRNA from 1 species
UGGCCCGCCGGACCUGACUGCUAUCGGAUUGGUACUAAGCCAUGCGAGUCAUUGUACAAUACAAGGCGGACGGCUCAGUAACACGUAGUCAACCUAACUCGUGGACAUGGAUAACCUCGGGAAACUGAGAAUAAACCGCGAUAGAUCAUUAUGCCUGGAAUGGCUUAUGGUCCAAAUAGUUUACUGCCAUGGGAUGGGACUGCGGCCUAUCAGCUUGUUGGUGAGGUAAUGGCCCACCAAGGCUAUAACAGGUACGGGCUCUGAGAGGAGAAGCCCGGAGAUGGGUACUGAGACACGGACCCAGGCCCUAUGGGGCGCAGCAGGCGAGAAACCUUAGCAAUGUGCGAAAGCACGACUGGGUCAGUCCGAGUGAUUCCUGAUAAAGGAGUCUUUUGCUUGUCCUAAAAGCACAGGUGAAUAAGGGGUGGGCAAGUCUGGUGUCAGCCGCCGCGGUAAUACCAGCACCUCGAGUGGUCAGGACGUUUAUUGGGCCUAAAGCAUCCGUAGCCGGCUCUGCAAGUCUUCGGUUUAAUCCACCUGCUCAACAGAUGGGCCGCCGG